rnacentral:rRNA from 1 species
AUUGAACGCUGGCGGCAGGCUUAACACAUGCAAGUCGAGCGGGGGAAGGUAGCUUGCUACCGGACCUAGCGGCGGACGGGUGAGUAAUGCUUAGGAAUCUGCCUAUUAGUGGGGGACAACAUCGCGAAAGGGAUGCUAAUACCGCAUACGUACUACGGGAGAAAGCAGGGGAUCUUCGGACCUUGCGCUAAUAGAUGAGCCUGAGUCGGAAUUGCUAGUUGGUGGGGUAAAGGCCUACCAAGGCGACGAGCUGUAGCGGGUCUGAGAGGAUGAUCCGCCACACUUGGACUGAGACACGGCCCAGACUCCUACGGGAGGCAGCAGUGGGGAAUAUUGGACAAUGGGGGGAACCCUGAUCCAGCCAUGCCGCGUGUGUGAAGAAGGCCUUAUGGUUGUAAAGCACUUUAAGCGAGGAGGAGGCUACUCUAGUUAAUACCUAGGGAUAGUGGACGUUACUCGCAGAAUAAGCACCGGCUAACUCUGUGCCAGCCGCCGCCGUAA